GACGAACGCUGGCGGCGUGCUUAACACAUGCAAGUCGAGCGGUAAGGCCCUUCGGGUACACGAGCGGCGAACGGGUGAGUAACACGUGGGUGACCUGCCCUUAGCUCUGGGAUAAGCCUGGGAAACUGGGUCUAAUACCGGAUAUGACCUCAUGACGCAUGUUGUGGGGUGGAAAGCCUUGUGCGGCUAGGGAUGGGCCCGCGGCCUAUCAGCUUGUUGGUGGGGUGAUGGCCACCAAGGCGACGACGGGUAGCCGGCCUGAGAGGGCGACCGGCCACACUGGGACUGAGACACGGCCCAGACUCCUACGGGAGGCAGCAGUGGGGAAUCUUGCGCAAUGGGCGAAAGCCUGACGCAGCGACGCCGCGUGAGGGAUGACGGCC
rnacentral:rRNA from 1 species